GACGAACGCUGGCGGCGUGCUUAACACAUGCAAGUCGAACGGAAAGGCCCUGCUUGCAGGGUACUCGAGUGGCGAACGGGUGAGUAACACGUGGGUGAUCUGCCCUGCACUUCGGGAUAAGCCUGGGAAACUGGGUCUAAUACCGGAUAGGAGCCAUUUUUAGUGUGAUGGUUGGAAAGUUUUUUUCGGUGUAGGAUGAGCUCGCGGCCUAUCAGCUUGUUGGUGGGGUAAUGGCCUACCAAGGCGGCUACGGGUAGCCGGCCUGAGAGGGUGGACGGCCACAUUGGGACUGAGAUACGGCCCAGACUCCUACGGGAGGCAGCAGUGGGGAAUAUUGCACAAUGGGCGCAAGCCUGAUGCAGCGACGCCGCGUGGGGGAUGACGGCCUUCGGGUUGUAAACUCCUUUCGCUAGGGACGAAGCUUUUUGUGACGGUACCUAGAUAAGAAGCACCGGCUAACUACGUG
rnacentral:rRNA from 1 species